UACGGAGGAUGCAAGCGUUAUCCGGAAUGAUUGGGCGUAAAGAGCUUGUAGGCGGUUUGUCGCGUCUGCUGUGAAAUUUCGGGGCUCAACCCCGAACUUGCAGUGGGUACGGGCAGACUAGAGUGUGGUAGGGGAGACUGGAAUUCCUGGUGUAGCGGUGAAAUGCGCAGAUAUCAGGAGGAACACCGAUGGCGAAGGCAGGUCUCUGGGCCAUAACUGACGCUGAGAAGCGAAAGCAUGGGGAGCGAACAGG
rnacentral:rRNA from 1 species